AGUGAGGAAUUUUGCGCAAUGGGGGAAACCCUGACGCAGCAACGCCGCGUGAGUGAAGAAGGCCUUUGGGUCGUAAAGCUCUGUCAACUGGGAAGAAGUUAGAUUCUAUUAAUAGUAGAUUCUAUUGACGGUACCAGUGGAGGAAGCGCCGGCUAACUCCGUGCCAGCAGCCGCGGUAACACGGGGGGCGCAAGCGUUAUUCGGAAUUAUUGGGCGUAAAGGGCGCGCAGGCGGUCUUGUCCGUCAGGUGUGAAAGCUCGGGGCUCAACCCCGGAAGUGCACUUGAAACAGCAAGACUUGAAUACGGUAGAGGAGAGAGGAAUUCCUGGUGUAGAGGUGAAAUUCGUAGAUAUCAGGAGGAACACCGAUGGCGAAGGCAUCUCUCUGGGCCGAUAUUGACGCUGAGGCGCGAAGGCGUGGGUAGCGAACGGGAUUAGAUACCCCGGUAGUCCACGCAGUAAACGUUGUACACUCGGUGUAGCGGAUAUUAAAAUCUGCUGUGCCCAAGCUAACGCAUUAAGUGUACCGCCUGGGAAGUACGGUCGCAAGACUA
rnacentral:rRNA from 1 species